ACAGGGGGAUAACACUUAGAAAUAGGUGCUAAUACCGCAUAAGCGCACGGUUCCGCAUGGAACAGUGUGAAAAACUCCGGUGGUAUACGAUGGAUCCGCGUCUGAUUAGCCAGUUGGCGGGGUAACGGCCCACCAAAGCGACGAUCAGUAGCCGGCCUGAGAGGGUGAACGGCCACAUUGGGACUGAGACACGGCCCAAACUCCUACGGGAGGCAGCAGUGGGGAAUAUUGCACAAUGGGGGAAACCCUGAUGCAGCGACGCCGCGUGAGUGAAGAAGUAUCUCGGUACGUAAAGCUCUAUCAGCAGGGAAGAAAAUGACGGUACCUGAUUAAGAAGCCCCGGCUAACUACGUGCCAGCAGCCGCGGUAAUACGUAGGGGGCAAGCGUUAUCCGGAUUUACUGGGUGUAAAGGGAGCGUAGACGGCAGCGCAAGUCUGGAGUGAAAUGCCGGGGCCCAACCCCGGAACUGCUUUGGAAACUGUGCAGCUCGAGUGCAGGGGAGGUAAGCGGAAUUCCUAGUGUAGCGGUGAAAUGCGUAGAUAUUAGGAGGAACACCAGUGGCGAAGGCGGCUUACUGGACUGUAACUGACGUUGAGGCUCGAAAGCGUGGGGAGCAAACAGGAUUAGAUACCCUGGUAGUCCACGCCGUAAACGAUGAUUACUAGGUGUCGGGGGGCCAAGGCCCUCCGGUGCCGGCGCAA
rnacentral:rRNA from 1 species